rnacentral:lncRNA from 1 species
AUGGGCUCUGAUCAUUAUCACUAUCACCAUUCUACCCAGAUUUUUUUCAAUGGUAAAAACCAUCCUGGUAUGAGACGCAACCUGACUUCACAAGUACAAGGAAAACAGCCAAACUUCAUACAAAAGUUUGGACAUAGAACUCUACAAGAAGGAGAAGAUUUAAUUCUGCAUUGCACUAUACAUGGAAAGCCUGAACCACAUGUCUGCUGGACAAAGAAUGAUAUCCAAGUGGUAUCUGGUGAUAUCAGUAUUGAGAAAUUAGGAGAUAUCUAUUACCUUUUAAAAAGAAAUGUAGUCCUUGCUGAUACUGGGAAAUAUGUCUGUCUUGCCAGCAAUGAAGUUGGAAAGGCACACUGCUCUGCUUUCGUAACCGUGAUAGAGAAAAAUAAAACCCCAGAAACUCCCAGUGUAACUCAAGCUAAACCAGAAUGGAAAGAUGGAGACUUUUCAGAAGAAGAGAAUGUCACCACGACUGAACUCAUACCAGCCCAUGACACACAAUGUGAGAGAGAUGAUCUCCCAGUAAAGUGAUUUGCAACUUACUCCGUGCUACAACUUGUACUGCUGCAAUAGCUGUUUAAAGAGAAACUCUGGCUUCAAGGAGUGUAUUUUGAACUUGAGAGGCCACAGGAGAUUAGCUUCAGUUUGAGACAGGAUCCCCUUCUUCUGCAUGAUGCAGUGGAACAGAAGAUGGACUGAAGUGCAAGAUGUCUGAUUCCUGAGGGUGUUCGUGUUGUUUGCUGUGUCCAUUAGUAGAUCCUGCCAUGAGUGAGGAGAAGAUGAAUCUUUGACUGCUAUCCAAUGUAUUUCUAGGUUACAAUUUGUAUUUUGUUUCUUUACAAAUAAAU